rnacentral:rRNA from 1 species
GUGAACGCUGGCGGUAGGCCUAACCCCUGCAAGUCGCACGGCAGCACAGUAAGAGCUUGCUCUUACGGGUGGCGAGUGGCGGACGGGUGAGGAAUACAUCGGAAUCUACUUUUUCGUGGGGGAUAACGUAGGGAAACUUACGCUAAUACCGCAUACGACCUACGGGUGAAAGCAGGGGAUCUUCGGACCUUGGGCGAUUGAAUGAGCCGAUGUCGGAUUAGCUAGUUGGCGGGGUAAAGGCCCACCAAGGCGACGAUCCGUAGCUGGUCUGAGAGGAUGAUCAGCCACACUGGAACUGAGACACGGUCCAGACUCCUACGGGAGGCAGCAGUGGGGAAUAUUGGACAAUGGGCGCAAGCCUGAUCCAGCCAUACCGCGUGGGUGAAGAAGGCCUUCGGGUUGUAAAGCCCUUUUGUUGGGAAAGAAAAGCAGCAGGUUAAUACCCCGCUGUUCUGACGGUACCCAAAGAAUAAGCACCGGCUAACUUCGUG